UCAGUCGACUCCUACGGGGAGGCAGCAGUCGGGGAAUAUUGCACAAUGGGGGAAACCCUGAUGCAGCCAUGCCGCGUGUGUGAAGAAGGCCUUCGGGUGUAAAGCACUUUCAGUAGGGAGGAAGGUAGUGUAGUUAACACCUGCAUUAUUUGACGUUACCUACAGAAGAAGCACCGGCUAACUCCGUGCCAGCAGCCGCGGUAAUACGGAGGGUGCGAGCGUUAAUCGGAAUUACUGGGCGUAAAGCGCAUGCAGGCGGCCUGUUAAGUCAGAUGUGAAAGCCCGGGGCUUAACCUCGGAAUUGCAUUUGAAACUGGCAGGCUAGAGUCUUGUAGAGGGGGGUAGGAAUUUCAGGUGUAGCGGUGAAAUGCGUAGAGAUCUGAAGGAAUACCAGUGGCGAAGGCGGCCCCCUGGACAAAGACUGACGCUCAGAUGCGAAAGCGUGGGGAGCAAACAGGAUUAGAUACCCUGGUAG
rnacentral:rRNA from 1 species